GCCAUAGAAAAGUGAGAAGAGAGGCUGAUGCAUAAGGAGAGAAGAAGAAAGCUUAAGGUGCUAAGGAUUCAACUUGAUUUUCAAGGGGUUUUUGUUGAAAAUUACCUAAGAUUUUGGCUAUAGGAGGCAUUAGCAAUUAGAAUUCCAUAUGUUCAGACUGGCAAAAAUGGAACUAAGGUCGGGAACAGUUGUAUCUACAUAUGUUACCUCCUCAAUUUUGUACACACGUAUUAAGGGAACUUGUACUCCAUAUAGUCCACCAUGUAAAAGAUAUAUUUUUACUAUGUGUUGUCAUGCACAUAUAUUUGUAUAUGACUAUAUGUAAGAAGUUAAGAAAUUUUCUUAUACUGGUUUCCUCUGCUCAGUACAUAGUGUGACCUAUACCACUGUUAAUAACUUUGUAUAAUAUGUUAUGUAGCAUCUUUGCACUAUUUAUCCCUGGA